rnacentral:tRNA from 1 species
UAUUAAGUGGCCGAAACUAUAAGCUCUAGACUUUUAAUCUAGGUUAUGAUUAAUUAUAAUCCUUAAUAG